CAGCCACCUGCCCUCCCCACACAUUUGGAAGGAGAGACCACAAUACCAUGCUCAGAGCUACAUAAAUGAAAAAAAGAAAGAGGAGAGAGGCGAUAGCCCUUAACAUUUUUGGCCCAAGGAAAGAAGGUUUUAAUCAGAAAGCGCUAAUUCACUUAUGGUCAGCAGAAAGAUAAUAAGAGACAGACUUACUGACUGUUGUAAAAUGUAAUUGAUUAGGGUUUCUGAAUCUUAUUCAUUUUUUAAAAUGUUCUAUCUUGUAUUAUGUAUGCAGGUUGCUGGCUAUAUUUGUUCACUUCUCUCAAUUAUCUGCAUACAGAAAAUGUGACAAGGGCUGCUUUUCUUUUAAUUUACUCUUGUGAUCAAACGAGUUUCAUCCAUCAGGCAGCAGAAUCGUGAAAUGAUUUCCUUUACACAAAUACCAGUGUUUCAGUAAACUCACAAAUGGAUAGGAACGUGCAUAUAACCUCUCUCUCUCUCGCUCACUCGCUCACUCACUCUUCUCUCUCUCCCACAUCCCCUGCCCUGUUUUUCCAUGUGAUGGCUCCCUUUUCCUGUGGGCUGCUGGGAAAAUGGACAAUGGACAAGUGUAACACCCAUCACGAGAAGAACAUGGAGAAUAUGGACGAGUGGCACUGAGUGAGCCCCAACAAGGCACAAAGACCCAUUCAACUGUGAAGCAACUUCAAUAAAUUCAACUCCACUGAUAGGGUACCAUGUGAGUCCCUAUGUGCUGGACUCUGUUCUGAGCAGUGGGCUACCAAGAUAAACAAAGAAAAAUCAGUGCCUUUUAGGAGGCCUUGGUUGAGCAAGGGAAGUGAGUCCAUAAAUAAAUAAUUAGAGAACAAAUGCAUCCACUUUAUUACCUGCUAGGCUUAUGUUAAAAUUCCCUUAAAGAUGGAAUGGCUUCUGUUAAGGCAAUUCAUAUCUCUCAAAAAUUGUACUUCUAGCACCGGGGCUUUAUGAACCAAAUUAAUGAUCAGAUGGGUUGAAGGGUUGAAGAUGAAAAUGGAGAUUUCCUGACGCUAUGGUUAAUGUGUGACAUCUAUUCUGGGGUGGCUUCCAGUCUCAGCUCUCCAAAGACAAAAAGACAAUAAACAGUGAGGACACCUAUUAUGGGCUGGAAUAUGUCCCUCCUCACCCCCCAAAUUCAUAUGUUCAAGUCCUAACCCCCAGUAUCUCAUAAUGUGACUAGAUUUGGAGAUAGGGGCUUUCAAGAGAAAAUUAAGCCUGUUUGGGUGAUCCCUAAUCCAAUAUGAUUGGCGUACUUCUGAGAAGAGGAAAUUUGGGCACACAAAGAGACCACAGGGGUACACAGAGAAACAGCCAUGUGAAGAGGCAGCAAGAAGGCCGCUGUCUGCAAGCCGAGGAGAGAGACCACAGGAGCAACCACCCCUCUGCAAGUGUCUUGAUCUUGGACUUCCAGCCUCCAGAACCCAGAGAAAAUAAAUGUUGAUGGUUUAAGCCACCCAGUCUGUAGGAUCACUAUGGCAGUCCUAGCAAACUAACACAGCAUGACUCCCUCUUAGCAAACUAACACAGCAUGACUCACUGAGCUGAUCUCCCCACUUGGCUGCCCAUGGAGAGGCCUUCAUGCCAGCCUCAGGCACCAGCACCCCUUGGUGGCAUUGUGCACCAAAGCACAAAGAUGGUGCAGUACCACCUUAUCCCCUGAGAAACUGCUUUGCCCCCAAGCACACAAAAAGGGAGCUCCUGGCCUCCUGAUUUUCACAGACUGAGCACUGAGCUCACUGCCCCACUGGCUCACUUCACUGAGCUCUGCCUAACCUUGGACUUUUCUACUCCAAUCCCACUCAGCCUCCUGGGACCUUCAGAUUUGACAUUCGGCAUCGUCUUGUAAACUUGGACUCUGACUCCCUCUUGCCCUCAAAUCCCAUUCAGUGUUGCCAGGACCACCUGGUCCUCCCAGCAUCGUGAGUGGACCCAGGGACCUCACAACAUUCCCACACUUCCUCAAAUCUCUCUUCACUCCAGACAGAACAACCCCACGAGCCAAGUGCCCACGUCUCCUCUCUGCCAGGGUGUCCCUAGCACCGACUCAAAGCACCAACUCAAAGCCUGGCACACAGUGUGGGCUUCAUAUACCUCUGGUGACCAAAUUCGCAGACUGGAUACAGACACAAGGAACAGCCUUUCUCUCGUAACCCCAUGCAUUCUCUCAAAGCAAGACUCCAGAAUCAAGUGAAAGCAUUUUAGAUUUAUUUAGAGUGUUAUCUGUUAUCAAGGAUGACGGGGGAAGGUUGGAGGACGCCGGAGCACUUCUGAGCACAUACAGCUAUAGAGGAAGGCAGAGCCACUGCUAAUUUCCCAAGUGGGAAAUACCCUGUCCCCAUUAGCGUUGGAUUUCCUGGCCUCCUGGCUUUACCACGGCUCCAGUGUUAGGUGAACCUUUAUUUUUAUAUUGCACAGAACACACACUCAGACCAAAAAAAAAAAAAAACAACAGUAAAGGGGUAUGCUUUUUCUCAGCUAUUGGAAAACAUAUAUAGGCUUCAUGGAUCCUACAUUACCUCUAAAAUUGUUUUCAGAUCUGGCCUGUCCUAUGUUAAAUCGCUCCCUCAUUUUUCUUUUUAUGUGCAGCCUUCAUUGUGAAACAGUUUUUGCAUCUGGACAAUGAAAUUGAACUUGCCUAAAGGGCAAGAAACAACGUAUAAUCAUAAAUUGAAAACUUCUCAGUUGGAAAGAAGUCACUGGAGGCAAACAGAUGAUGGGAAACUUUUGUUUUGUUUUGUUUGAGAUGGAGUCGCAUUCUGUCACCCAGGCUGGGGUGCAGUGGUGUGAGCUUGGCUCACUGCAACCUCCACCUCCCGGGUUCAAGCGAAUCUCCUGCCUCAGCCUCCUGAGUAGCUGGAAUCACAGGCGCCUACCACCAUGCCUGGCUAAUUUUUGUAUUUUUAGUAGAGACGGGGUUUCACCAUGUUGGCCAGGCUUGUCUUGAACUCCUGAUCUCAAAUGAUCUGCCCACCUUGGCCUCCCAAAGUGCUGGGAUUACAGGCGUGACCCACCGCACCUGGCCAAUGGUGGGAGACUUUUAAGAUUUAGGUAGUUACAUCAUCAUUCUCCAAGACCCAGCAUGAGCAGUCCAAGGAGGAACAUCAGAUCAGGAGUCAGAAGACCCAAGGUUGAUUGACAACCCCACCCCUUCAAAGCUGUGUGACAUUGGGGAAAUCACUUCACCUCUCUGAUUGUCCUUAUUUUUUUUUAUUAUUAUCAUACUUUUGCAUUUGUAAAAUAAAAGUGAUAUUUAUGCCAUGUCUGUCAUUAGGUCAUUGUAAAAUUCAAAUGAGACCUUUGCUAAAAUGCACCACUCUGUACAAGUAAAGGAAACAUACCAGGAAAGAACAUCUGAAGCUUGGAUUUAGAUUCCCAGUCUGCCAGUGAAUACUUCUGUGUCUGUGGGCCUGAGGUAUCACUUUCUCCUUUUACACUUCCGUUUC
rnacentral:lncRNA from 10 species